AUGAACGCUGGCGGCGUGCCUAAUACAUGCAAGUCGAACGCUUCACAUAUGUGAAGAGUGGCGAACGGGUGAGUAAUACAUAAGUAACCUGGCCUUUACAGGGGGAUAACUAUUGGAAACGAUAGCUAAGACCGCAUAGGUGUCAUAACCGCAUGGAGAUGACAUGAAAUAUGCUGCGGCAUAGGUAGAGGAUGGACUUAUGGCGCAUUAGCUAGUUGGAGGGGUAACGGCCCACCAAGGCGACGAUGCGUAGCCGACCUGAGAGGGUGACCGGCCACACUGGGACUGAGACACGGCCCAGACUCCUACGGGAGGCAGCAGUAGGGAAUUUUCGGCAAUGGGGGAAACCCUGACCGAGCAACGCCGCGUGAAGGAAGAAGUAAUUCGUUAUGUAAACUUCUGUCAUAGAGGAAGAACGGUGCGUGUAGGGAAUGACAUGCAAGUGACGGUACUCUAUAAGAAAGCCACGGCUAACUACGUGCCAGCAGCCGCGGUAAUACGUAGGUGGCGAGCGUUAUCCGGAAUUAUUGGGCGUAAAGAGGGAGCAGGCGGCACUAAGGGUCUGUGGUGAAAGAUCGAAGCUUAACUUCGGUAAGCCAUGGAAACCGUAGAGCUAGAGUGUGUGAGAGGAUCGUGGAAUUCCAUGUGUAGCGGUGAAAUGCGUAGAUAUAUGGAGGAACACCAGUGGCGAAGGCGACGAUCUGGCGCAUAACUGACGCUCAGUCCCGAAAGCGUGGGGAGCAAAUAGGAUUAGAUACCCUAGUAGUCCACGCCGUAAACGAUGAGUACUAAGUGUUGGGAGUCAAAUCUCAGUGCUGCAGUUAACGCAAUAAGUACUCCGCCUGAGUAGUACGUUCGCAAGAAUGAAACUCAAAGGAAUUGACGGGGGCCCGCACAAGCGGAGGAACAUGUGGUUUAAUUCGAUGAUACGCGAGGAACCUUACCCGGGCUUGAAAGUUACUGACGAUUCUGGAAACAGGAUUUCCCUUUGGGGCAGGAAACUAGGUGCUGCAUGGUUGUCGUCAGCUCGUGUCGUGAGAUGUUGGGUUAAGUCCCGCAACGAGCGCAACCCCUGUUGCCAGUUGCCAGCAUUAAGUUGGGGACUCUGGCGAGACUGCCGGUGACAAGCCGGAGGAAGGCGGGGAUGACGUCAAAUCAUCAUGCCCCUUAUGACCUGGGCUACACACGUGCUACAAUGGACAGAGCAGAGGGAAGCGAAGCCGCGAGGUGGAGCGAAACCCAGAAAACUGUUCUCAGUUCGGACUGCAGUCUGCAACUCGACUGCACGAAGUUGGAAUCGCUAGUAAUCGCGAAUCAGCAUGUCGCGGUGAAUACGUUCUCGGGCCUUGUACACACCGCCCGUCACACCAUGAGAGUCGGUAACACCCGAAGCCGGUGGCCUAACCGCAAGGAAGGAGCUGUCUAAGGUGGGACUGAUGAUUGGGGUG
rnacentral:rRNA from 1 species